rnacentral:rRNA from 1 species
UACGAAGGGGGCUAGCGUUGCUCGGAAUUACUGGGCGUAAAGGGCGCGUAGGCGGAUAGUUCAGUUGGGGGUGAAAGCCCGGGGCUCAACCUCGGAACUGCCUUCAAUACUGGCUAUCUUGAGUACGGGAGAGGUGUGUGGAACUCCGAGUGUAGAGGUGAAAUUCGUAGAUAUGGGGAGGAACACCGGUGGCGAAGGCGGCCAUCUGGACGGAUAUUGACGCUGAGACGCGAAAGCGUGGGUAGCAAACAGG